AAGAGUUUGAUCCUGGCUCAGGACGAACGUUGGCGGCGUGCUUAACACAUGCAAGUCGAGCGGUUGAGAGGUGGGAGGUGAGAGGUUAGACGUGGGAGAAAGAAAGUGGAUAAUCUGCCUGUAAGACAGGGAUAACGCCGGGAAACCGGUGCUAAUACCCGAUAACCUCUUUGGAUCGCAUGGUUUGAAGAGAAAAGGUGGCCUCUUUACAAUGCUACCACUUACAGAUGAAUCCGCGUCCCAUUAGCCAGUUGGUGGGGUAAAGGCCUACCAAAGCGACGAUGGGUAGCCGGCCUGAGAGGGUGACCGGCCACACUGGAACUGAGAUACGGUCCAGACUCCUACGGGAGGCAGCAGUGGGGAAUCUUCCGCAAUGGGCGAAAGCCUGACGGAGCAACGCCGCGUGAGCGAAGAAGGUCUUCGGAUUGUAAAGCUCUGUGAUAUUGGACGAAAAAAAUGACGGUACCUUAGGAAGAAGCACCGGCUAACUACGUGCCAGCAGCCGCGGUAAUACGUAGGUGGCAAACGUUGUCCGGAAUUACUGGGCGUAAAGGGCGAGUAGGUGGUUUAUUAAGUCAGAAGUGAAAACUCCGGGCUCAACUCGGAGACUGCUCCUGAAACUGGUAGACUUGAGUGCAAGAGAGGGAAGUGGAAUUCCUAGUGUAGCGGUGAAAUGCGUAGAUAUUAGGAGGAACACCAGUGGCGAAGGCGACUUCCUGGCUUGUAACUGACACUGAGGCGCGAAAGCGUGGGGAUCAAACAGGAUUAGAUACCCUGGUAGUCCACGCCGUAAACGAUGAGUGCUAGGUGUUGGGGGUAUCGACCCCCAGUGACUGAGCGAAAGCAAUAAGUAUCCCGCCUGGGGAGUACGGCCGCAAGGUUGAAACUCAAAGGAAUUGACGGGGGCCCGCACAAGCAGCGGAGCAUGUGGUUUAAUUCGAAGCAACGCGAAGAACCUUACCAGGGCUUGACAUCGAUAGAAUCUUGAAUUACUCUUAAUCGAGGAAGCCUUUCGGGGCAGAUAGACAGGUGGUGCAUGGUUGUCGUCAGCUCGUGUCGUGAGAUGUUGGGUUAAGUCCCGCAACGAGCGCAACCCUUAUUGCUAGUUGCCAUCAGUUCGGCUGGGCACUCUAGUGAGACUGCCGGAGACAAUUCGGAGGAAGGUGGGGAUGACGUCAAAUCCUCAUGGCCCUUAUGUCCAGGGCUACACACGUGCUACAAUGGCCGGUACAAAGGGCAGCAAAGCCGCGAGGUGGAGCCAAUCCCAAAAAGCCGGUCUCAGUUCGGAUUGUAGGCUGAAACCCGCCUACAUGAAGUUGGAGUUGCUAGUAAUCGCAUAUCAGNNNNNNNNNNNNNNNNNNNNNNNNNNNNNNNNNNNNNNNNNNNNNNNNNNNNNNNNNNNNNNNNNNNNNNNNNAAGCCGGUAUCCUACCCGUAAGGAGGGAGCCGUCGAAGGUGAGAUCAAUGACUGGGGUGAAGUCGUAACAAGGUAACAA
rnacentral:rRNA from 1 species